rnacentral:lncRNA from 1 species
UCCCUCUCGAAGGCCAUUGGUACCUGGAGCGGCGGCCCCUGCCGGCGAGGACGCCUCGUAUUGCGACCGCCGGCGUUCGCAGGCGGUGUGCUGGCCGGCGUACUCGGCCGUGAGGGCGGUGGGCCAUUGGUGGACUUUUGGUCGCGGUGCAGAUCUCAUCUGCGUCAGAUCUGGAGGUACGAGAUCCCACCUCCCUGUUGCCUCUCUCGCUCUGUACGCCGUGGAGUGCGAUUCGCUCGUUGGCUCCGGUGUUGGUGAGCAUGGUGGAGUAGCUUGCGGCCUGGGGGAAACCCUGGCCGGCUUGGCCGGCCCGACGGGGGCGACGCCCAAGGGCGCCACUUUCUUCCAUGGGGCGCUGCUGAGGUCCCAACUCUCCACCCCGACCUCCUGCCAGGGUGAAAACCCACAAUCCCCUGCGGAUUUGGCGGCGGCGGCGCCUUGCGCGUCGUGAACUUCCUGAAGUCAUCGUCAGUGGUGUAGGGGCUCUGAUGGGAUGAUGUGUAGGCGCAGGAUUGAUGUUGCUUGUGUCUCGAGAUUGUGUGGAUGCGGUGUGGGUUGUAGGCACCGUCGCCUCUUCUGGUUGGUGCUCUCCGGUGGCGGUGAAUGCCUCUCGGCCCUGGUGACGCGGCUUCUCGAUCCUGACGGUAGGGGAUAGGGUUCGCCUUCCCGGUGGUUGUGGCUUCAUGUAAACCAGAGAGACCUGGGUCUUCUCAAUGGUGGUGCUUUGCUGCCUUGCCUCUCGCAUUUUUGCUUGGUUCCCUGCUGCCUCCUCUUCAGCGUCUGACUCCAUGAAGCUUUCCUUCUCCGACUAGUUGGGUGUGGUUAGUGGCGGUGUUGCCGACAUGGCUUAUCCCAAAUCGAGGUGGUCGCCCUAGGUCCAUCGUGCGAUGUGAGGGUGGCAUCCUUCUAGUUCUCAGGUGAGCUUCUCUAAAUCUUGACACUACGUCAGCUACAAGCCAUGGCGAGGGGGUAGGGUCCCUCUUCGGUGACAGAUAAGGAAGGUGUUAUUUUCCCUCCUUCCCUAGGUGCUCCUGGAGCAAUGUCCAUCUUCGCGUCCGACUUUCUCAUGCCCUGCUGCUCUGUCCUUGAUUUGUAGGAUACUAGUGUGGAGUACUCUGCUUCUAGCAAGAUGUAAUCUUCAUUUUCCUUUCUUAGGUUAGAUUGUGUAGGCCGUGCUUUUGGUUUGCUUCCCAGCGUUCCCCUUUGUAUGCGUUUGGUCGUCGUUCUCUGGGUCUUAUGAUCUAACUCCUGGCCGGUUGAUGGCUUUGUUAAUUCAAAGCCGGGCUCUUCACGAGCCUUCGUUCCAAAAAUAUUGGUUCUUUGGGUCUAUCUUCAAGCAUUCCCAGUUUCUUCUUCGGCCAUGAUGGCACACGUCAGAGCAUCGCUCACAUCAAGAUCUAUACUUCCACACCUACCUCUAUUUUCAAUUUGCAGUAUCGAAUCAAUGCUAGUUUCUCCAUAAGAUCAAUUUCUUGUUCUACUCCAUGGUCCAUCUCAAACCAUCGCUUCUAGUGAGAUAUAAAAUUUGAGUUCUACCACUUGAUCUAUUUGGAAGACAGCUACUGGUGUUUACAUAAGAUCUACACUUCGUCCUACUUCAAGAUCCAUGUCAAAGCAUCGCCCACGAGAGAUUUACUCUGACUCCGGAAGUCUUAUAGCUUUGUUUUUGGCGAGAUCCAUACUUUACUCUCUGCCAUGAUCUUCUGGAAGCAUCACUACCGUGAUAUCUAUACUUUGAGCAAUACCUUCCCAUCUUACUUGGGGAUCUAUGGAUCCUUAUUUAUGGUAAUUGUGCAUUAUUUUUGGUGGAUAUUUGGAUGGAUCUAAUCAAUUGAGAGGUGGUUGUGCUUUUGUCUUAUUCUCCACUAAGUCACGAAAUUAAUCCUUACCUGUAGUAUCAUACCAUACUUGUUAAACAUAUUCAUAACAAAAAGGCUGGUUCUUCUCUAGCUUAUAAAGCCAAGCUUGCAUUCACAUCACUACCUUUCGCUAGAGCACAUGAGAUACCCGAAAUACACACCAUUAUUUUUAGGGAAGUGAAAUGCAUUUUUCCAUUAUAUGUAAACAGUGUUAGUGGCAUAUAAUAUCAUGUGUUUAGAACCACGGACAUACUAUAAAGAAGGUUUCAAUCAUAAAGAUUACUUUCUUAUAGUGACUCAGGCUUGAAACAAGAAUGAUGGUGCACGUUUGCUCUUAGGCACUACCACAUUGGAGCACCUUAUCGCUAGAGAUGUCAAUGUAGUACAUUUUACCCUAAAACACACGUACUUGUUCCUAUCCUUUUCUUUUUCUGUGCUGCUUGUCUGAGAAAGCACGCACACAUAUUUCUAGUGGAUUGUCUCUAGUAUUAAUGAUGAGUAUGGACGGCAUAGCGAGGCGGAAGGGCAUACGUUACCUGUGGAGAGAGAGCAUGGCCGCGCUGAGGCUGGGAGCACCGGCGCCGCAUGGUGGCAUCAGCUUGGCUGCUUCCACCCUCACAGCCUUGUGGUUCCAGUACUUGAGGGACGACCGGUGGCGCACCUCGGCGUGGUCAUCUCCGCUUCGAGUGCGGGAUUAUGCGCGGGCGGCCUUCAUAUGGCCCUAUUGGAUGGCACGGGUGCGUCUAGCCCUGUGAUGCCGUUGCCGCCGCAACAGCCGAAGUUGGGUGCCUGGAAGGUGUGCAUGGCAACGUUGUAGAGAUGGUGGCUCACGAGGGCAGAGGGUGAGCACACCGCUACCGACAGGUGUGGGACGUGACCCAAUGGCUUGUGCUGCUCGAGCAAGGUGCGGGUGAUGCCAGUAGCGCGAGGCCUGGGGGAGAGUGGGAGGGGAGCGUGUGUUGGCUUACCUGCGUGAUUGGAGUGAAACGACAAUGAAGGAGACAACAAAGAGGCUACUACAUGGGAGAUGCUGAUCCGAUGCGAGGCUCCUCCUCAGUCUAUGCACUUGCAGUUGUUGUUCGGGACAUCGUGUCACCUAGCCACUCCAUACCCAGACUGGAGGCAAUGGACAUGAAUCACAUGAUGAGGUAGCCGAAAUCCCACUCUGGCGUGGUUUUGCUCUCGGUAUUCUUAGUUCUUGCCGUGUCAUGUUUUCUGAGAUAUAGUACAAAUUUACCUUUUCGUUUCCUUUCGUUUGGUGUGCUUAAAUGUUUUGCGGCAAGUCGGCCAAUUGGAGCAGGGCCUAUCAGGUUACUGGUCUCUUUGCUGGAUUUUGCCAAUUUGGGCCAGCCAACCAAACUAGCAAAUGUUGGCAAAAUACGGAAACAAGAACAGAUCAGAAGACGCUGUCAGGUACCAGAUAGGCCCUGCUCCAAUCGUCCGGCUUGUUGCAAAAUACACACGCACACCGAAAGAAAGAAAACCAAAAUAAAAUAAAAUUCUAACUCGACCGCACAUAACACGACACGGGAAGAAGUAAGAAAGCCGAGAGCAAAAUCAUGUGAGAGGGGGAUUUUGGCCACCUCAUCUUUUUUUGAGAGUUAUUUUGGCCACCUCAUCAUGUGGUUCAUGUCCAUUGUCGCCAGGCUGGGUUCGGAGGGGCUGGGAGACGCAACGCCCCGAGCAGCAACUCUGAAUGCCUCAACUGAGAGGAGCCUUUCAUCGGAGCAAUGUAUCUCAUGUAGCAUCCUCCUCCUUGCCUCCUUCUUGGCUGCCAUUUCACUCUGAUCAUGCACGCGAGUCAACACACACUCCCUCACACUCUUUGCAUAUGCCUCGCGCUGACGGCAUUGCCUGCACCUCGCUCGAGAAGUUCAAGCCUUUGGGUCGCACUCCUCCCCCGCCGGCAGUUGUGCUCACCCUCUGCGCCCGUGAGUCACUUGCUCUACAACGUUGCCACGCACACCUUUCAGGGAUCCAACAUUAGCAGUUGCGGCGGCAACAACAUCGCAGGGCUAGAUGCACCCGUGCCGCUCUAGCGAGGCCAUAGGAAGCACUCCCACAGCUACCGCGAGCCGCCAGCGCACACUCCCGCUCCCGAAUUGAAGUUGGUCCUCGACACGGUACAUGAACCACAAGGUGGUGUGGGAAGAUGCAUCAAAGAUGAUGUCUCCAUCAGGCGCCGGUGGUCCCAGCGUCAGGGUGGCCACACUCUGGCUCCACUGGUACACAAGUCCCUUCUCCUCACUAUACCAUCCGUAAUGAUCAUUACUACUUGCGUGUAUUGUCAUAGGUCUCUACUGGUUCUUGUCACAUGCAGUUCUAUGACUCAGUUACACUUUUUUGGACUCACCCAACACAUUAAGCAUGUAUUUUUCCAUGCCAGCAGUGACAUACAUCCAUCACAUUAAGCAUCAAUGCAUCACACUAAACAAUGCCAUUAAUAGUUCUCAUUGUCCUUGUUCUCAUUUACCUUUAGUAUGUCUACACAUACGGAUAUGAUCUUCAUAACCAUCUACUGGACAUGCAUGCUAGAUACAUAGAAAUAUACUGCUUAGUUGUUAGUAACCCACAUAGACAAUGACAUCGUCGGUGCGAGGCUGCUCCGUGGAUCGAGUUCUCGUCAUGCCGUUGUCCUUGUUGUGUAAUACUAUUUUUGCUAAGAUGGUUUCCAUGAUGGCGAUAAAAUCCGUAGAGGAGACUCACACCAAUGUCGGCGAGAAGCAGCCAAAGAAGGAGAAGCAACAGCUUAGGUAGUAGCCGCAGUGUCUGGUGCAGGUCCAGAGGCGGAGAAGCUGACCACCAACAAGGUGUGUCGUCAGGUCUCCCUCAAGAUCAAAAACCACGCGGUGGCAAAGGCGUCGACACGCAGGCAGAGACAGAGAAACUGAUGUUGCCACCAAGCACCCACGGUCCCAACUUCCAUGGCACCCCGCCCAUCCGUCCUCGUGCCGCAGCCCUCUAACUCUACAGGUGAGCACUCCCCGCGGACUUAUAGUAUUGUACACAUCGGUGAUCAUUCACAUUGGAUACAUUUUCAAAGUUAAAAGAAGUGUUCAAAGGUCACCAUGGGAUGAGCCCUUCCUUCACGGUUGUCUCGGUACGGUCAGUCCGGUUAGAGCCAUUGCCUGUGGGAUCGGAUCACGUCUAGUCCAGUCAGGUCUAGUCAGCAUCAGCUUAAGUUGUCAGGGCGUCCGCCCAAUCUUUAUAAAUGGAAGUGUGUUUCUCUACACUACGAGAUACUAGAGCUAAAUGUAUAGACAAUGCUUGAACUUGCUGUCUAUAUUCACUUUCGUGCCCUAGUUGCAUAAUACCAAAAACUGGUGCAAAAAAUUGGCUAAUGCAUUCAAUUUGGAGUACUCGCCUUCUAAGACGUUAUCUGUCGAUGUGAACUGAUAUUCCUUUGUAGGCUAACAAGUGGGGGGCGCAUAUAAGAGGAGGGCGGAGAGAGCGAGCGUCACUCAAUUACAGUGUUGUCAGUUACACUUUUGGACUCAACCAACACAUUGAUCAUUUUUCCUCAAUUACCUAAACCUACACAUGCACCUCGGGUUGUUAACAUAUAUGUGAGUCAUUUGGACUCAGCAAGUAAAUUACCAAGGAUACUAAACUAACAAUGCUUAUGGGUUGGAUGUGGAUAAGGUGGUGAGGUUGCACCAAGCAAUAUAAACCAACUAUUCCUAUAUCUAGCGCAUUGAGGAAGGCAUCGAUUGAUCACAAACUGCGUUGCGGUGGCCACCCUCCCCCUUUCUACUGUUCUUCUCCACCAAAAAGUCUCAAACUCUAGUGGCUUCUAUGAAAUCAAUGUGUGUUGAGGUCAAUUGAGAGGAACAUAAGCUCAAAUUGUUAAUAAGUAGUAUCUGACUCGACCGCACAUAACACGACACGGG